CCUACGAGUGGCAGCAGUGAGGAAUAUUGGUCAAUGGGCGCGAGCCUGAACCAGCCAAGUAGCGUGAAGGAUGACUGCCCUACGGGUUGUAAACUUCUUUUAUAAAGGAAUAAAGUGAGGCACGUGUGCCUUUUUGUAUGUACUUUAUGAAUAAGGAUCGGCUAACUCCGUGCCAGCAGCCGCGGUAAUACGGCGGAUCAGAGCGUUAGCCGGAUUUAUUGGGUUUAAAGGGAGCGUAGAUGGGUUGUUAAGUCAGUUGUGAAAGUUUGCGGCUCAACCGUAAAAUUGCACUUGAUACUGGCAGUCUUGAGUACAGUUGAGGUAGGCGGAAUUCGUGGUGUAGCGGUGAAAUGCUUAGAUAUCACGAAGAACUCCGAUUGCGAAGGCAGCUUACUAAACUGCCACUGACAUUGAUGCUCGAAAGUGUGGGUAUCAAACAGGAUUAGAUACCCUUGUAGUC
rnacentral:rRNA from 1 species